rnacentral:misc_RNA from 1 species
GAUGAAGAACGUAGCGAAAUGCGAUAAGUAAUGUGAAUUGCAGAAUUCAGUGAAUCAUCGAAUCUUUGAACGCACAUUGCGCCCGCCAGUAUUCUGGCGGGCAUGCCUGUCUGAGCGUCAUUUCAACCCUCAUGCCCCUAGGGCGUGGUGUUGGGGAUCGGCCAAAGCCCGCGAGGGACGGCCGGCCCCUAAAUCUAGUGGCGGACCCGUCGUGGCCUCCUCUGCGAAGUAGUGAUAUUCCGCAUCGGAGAGCGAUGAGCCCCUGCCGUUAAACCCCCAACUUUCCAAGGUUGACCUCAGAUCAGGUAGGAAUACCCGCUGAACUUAAGCAUAUCAAUAAGGAGGA